AGCCGCGCAAACGAAUAACUCGCGGGUGCUGCCCGUUCGCGGAGUUAUCGCAGCGAACGAUAUACCUGCGCAGAAACGUGGCGCGAGGUAUCUAUCAUCGAUUCGCGAUCCGGAUCAACAACGGUCGAUCCUUAACCUCAAUCAGCACGAUAGAUAGGUAACAUGUCGCGUUUGUACGGCGACAGUCUGUGAACGCGUGAACGUAGUGCGGACGUGAGGUUCAGGUGAGCACCCAAGAGGCCGAAUUUGGCCUUGUCUAGGACACGUUUGCGUGCAUCGUGGUGUGCUACUUUGAUAGGUUCAGGUGUACGUUGACCCAGAAGUAGUGAGUAGUGCUCGAACGAAACGGACGAAAGAAACGAAAGGUAAUCCUGGCACGAUGCAGACUACAGGAACAAGGGGACCUACUCACCUGGUCGCCCUUUACGUGGCGACAGCCGGUCUUCAAGGAAAUGCUCUCGGAUCUGACGAAGAGGAGAUCACGUUGCUGGUUUACGUGCUUCUCGAUGUGCUGCAAAAUAAGGUGUUAGGAAGACAACAGUAUAUUGUACGACCGAUGGUAAUGGACGAAAGUUGUACACCUGGAACCGGUAGCGACAAUCCGGCGGUUGCCGGAAGUAGCGGAGUCAUCAGCGAGGCAGCGCUGGCGCAUGCUCCGACGUUAACCGAAAGAACAGUUCGAGAACACGGAAUUUCUUUGGAGCAGGCUAUCGAACAGUUCGAAGCAUGGUGGUCAUCCAUGUCGUGCGUGACAUCCGGUUCCGCACCACGUUUCGUCGUAGACGGCCAGGCACCGAUGAGACAGUGUUUACAUCCCGAAGCCUGCAACAAAGAAAUCGAGCUGCCUGAACAUUACAACCUAUUUCAUGACCUCCGUAAGGAAUUUGUUGCCUGUUAUUCCACCCAUGGAGAACUCGCGACGCUCGGAAUACAGGAAAUGCUGGAUUAUUUUGGUUUGCCAUCGGAUACCGAGAACGAUUACCAUGUAAAAGAGAUACAGGAUAUGAUAUGUGUGAUACAGAGAAUGAUCAAGGAUGGGCACAUCUUCCAGAAUCCUGAAGUAGUUAAUAUUGUUCUAGAACCUGGUAUAUGCUCAAAAGAUGAAGAAGUGGAUAAUGGCUGUGUUGUAAGAGCACGAGGUCUUCCUUGGCAAUCAUCUGAUCAGGAUAUAGCAAAAUUUUUUCGGGGCCUAAAUGUUGCCAAGGGUGGUGUAGCUCUGUGUUUAAGUCCUAUGGGAAGACGUAACGGAGAAGCAUUAGUACGGUUUGUUAAUAAAGAACACAGAGACAUGGCACUGAAGAGACACAAACAUCAUAUGGGUGGGAGGUACAUAGAAGUUUACAAGGCAUCUGGAGAAGAUUUUGUAGGUGUUGCUGGAGGAACCAGUGGAGAAGCUCAUGCAUUUUUAUCAAGAGGAGCUCAAGUUAUUGUUAGAAUGAGAGGCUUGCCAUAUGACUGUGUUGCUAAACAAGUGUUGGAUUUCUUUUUAACGGGGCAAAAGCCUUGCCAUGUAUUAGAUGGGGAGGACGGGGUCUUAUUUGUAAAGAAACCAGAUGGCAGAGCAACCGGAGACGCUUUCGUUCUUUUUGCGAAAGAAGAAGAUGCUGUAAAGGCCUUGAGCAAACACAGGGAUUGCAUUGGUAGUCGGUACAUUGAACUUUUUCGAAGUACGAUCGCCGAGGUGCAACAGGUCUUGAAUAGGGCGAUUGACCCGAAACAAGUGGUUCUUCCGACGCCACCCAUUCCACAGCUUCCUCCUAUACUUCCACAACACAUUAUCACUUCCGGUACGCGUAAAGAUUGCGUUAGAUUACGCGGUCUACCUUACGAAGCUCUCGUAGAGCACAUUCUCGAGUUCAUGGGCGAACAUUCUAAGAAUAUCGUCUACCAAGGUGUUCAUAUGGUUUACAAUGCUCAAGGUCAACCUUCUGGCGAGGCGUUCAUUCAAAUGGACAGUGAAAGUUCAGCGUACGCGUGUGCUUCGCAACGACAUCAUCGGUACAUGAUAUACGGGAAAAAGCAGCGGUACAUCGAAGUGUUCCAGUGCAGCGGAGACGAUAUGAAUCUGGUAUUAACAGGUGCAGUAACUCCACCGUCAACCAAGGCCCUGCUAUCACCCGAGGGGCGAAAUCGCAAGUUGGUGCUACAUAUAUAUAAAACAUACGUAUAUAUCGUGUUACAAUGGUGCAGUGUCGAUUGCUGUUUGGUAGCGGGAUCUACAAAUACUAACUUCUGUGCUUCCAGGGGGCACGAUGUUGCCACCACCACCGGUCGCUAUAUUCCCACCUGCUGCUGCGAUGCUACCGCGUGGACCACCACAGUUUGCGGCACCUUAUCCGCCUCCAAUUUUUUAUUGGCCUUAUCCCUCGCCACCAGUCAGCCCGACUAAUUAUUAUAACCCGGCGAACGUUGGUGGUAUCGCGGCGAUUCCUCAGCAAGCAGCGCUGUUGACUCCAGCCGAAUGCUUGCAAUUACCGCCAGGAACAACGGUACCUGCUACCACCACACCGGCUCCAGAACAACGCAUCGAAGCUUUCCU
rnacentral:misc_RNA from 1 species